rnacentral:rRNA from 1 species
AUGACGACGUAUCCUGUGCUGAAUGACCAGCCAAUUGAUCAGUGGAACUUUGCAGAACUGAAGGAUGAGCUCUCUAGGAGGAACUUACCUACCGAUGGCUUGAAGGAUGAUCUUGUGAAAAGGCUCUUUGAGGAACUUCAGGGUGAUAUACUUGGUGGAGAAGGGCCAGUUGGUGGAUCUCCUCCCGAUGAUGAUCUCAAAGAGGACGAAACCCCUGGUUCGGCUGAUGCAUCUGUUUGCCAGGCUGCGGUGGAACAAAAUGUUGAUGAAGGUCCUUCUCAGGUUGCAACCCUGGAAGGAUAUCCUGUUGGUUCUGUUACAGAGGCUAGUGAGAAAGGUGCCGAUGCUACUACAGAGGUUAUUCAGGAUGCUCUAGUUAGUACCGAAGAAGUUAGUCAGACAACUCUUGUUGCGGAGGUUAGUGAGAAAAGUGCCGAUGCUACUACAGAAGUUAGUCAGAAUGCUGUAGUUAGUACCGAAGAAGAUAGUCAGACAACUCUUGUUGCAGAGGCUAGUGAGAAAAGUGCCGAUGCUACUACAGAAGUUAGUCAGGAUGCUGUAGUUAGUAACGAAGAAGUUAGUCAGACAACUCUUGUUGCUGCUACUGAAGUUAGUGAUGCUCCUCUUGUUGAUAUGGCAAAAGCUGAUGAAAUUUCUCCAAGUGACGCAGUGGCAACCAACGGAGAUCACCUAGAAUCAGCUCCAAGUGGCAGUAAUAUAGUGAAGGAAGCAUCUCCACAAGCUGAUCGUCAUAGUGAGAUUAUUGCAGAGAAGGCUCCAGAAGAAGGCACCAUCAAGAAAGUGAUUGCUAAUUAUCUACCAUGUGAUGUUGCCAGUACUGAUGUCAAGUUAGAUGCAACUUCUGCUAAAGACAAGUUAGAUGCUGAUAUUGUAGAGCAAGAUGCAGUAUCAUCACCUCCAGAUGCUAGUGCGUCACAUGUUGAUCCAUUGGAUGUUGAUGCUGUUGCAGCUGCACCAGGACAAAAUGCUGAGACCCUGAUUCCUGUGAUAGAUUUGAGUGAUAAUGCUUUGAUGAAUGGCAAGGACCUCGAAGAUUCUGGGCGCACAAACAGUACCUGCAAACCAACCGUGGCAGGGACAAAUGACCAGGUAACUGAGGUCAAUCCUGUUCUAGGUUCUCAAAUCAAGUGUGUUCCGAUUCCGCAUGACAAUAUAUCAACUAAUGUAAAAGGUGACCUGAAUGCUGACAAUUCUGAUUUGGAAAUAGAGGUUAAGAGGGAUAUGGUCAAACCACCAUGCAACAUUCCCUCCGUAGGUGAUGAUUUGCAGGCAUUGGACGAUGACAAAGAGUUGUCUAAGAACGGGACCCCAUUGCAAGAAAUAGAAUCUAAAUCCAAUAUGAUCUUGGACAAGAAAGAGGACAGUCCUGAUGGCGCUUUUCCUGAAAAACUAAAUUUAGACAGGAGCUCGAUAGAGGAGGAUGUGAUGGAAAGUAAGCAUGUUGAUACCAUUAUCAGAUCUGAUGAUCUUGGAGGAAAGACUGCGGUUACCUCAGACCAUGAAGAGGUAAAAGAGGUGAUCCUCUUUAAUACUGUUGCCAAUGAUUCAUCUGUGGAGACAAUGGAUAUUGUUCAUGAAGAGAAGCUAGUAACUUCAUCUGAAAAGAGGAAACUUGAAGACCAAGAAGUUGUCGCGGAUGAGCCCAUCAAACGUCAGCGCCAUGUGGAUACUCUCAAAAUUCCUAAGCAACAAACAUCCAAACUAAGUAGCUCUGAUUCUCCAAAGGUUGUGGUUCGGCCUGCUCUAAAACAUUUUGUUGGCAGGUCUAAUUCAACAGCAAGUGGAGGUUCUCACAAAGAGCGGAUAGUGCCACUUCCUCAGAAGCCUGCAACAACUUCCUUGAGAGUUGACCGAUUUGUGCGCCCAUUUACUUUGAAAGCUGUGCAAGAGCUUCUUGGUAGAACUGGAUCUGUUUGCAGCUUCUGGAUGGAUGAUAUCAAGACCCACUGCUAUGUUACAUACUCUUCAGUGGAUGAAGCUAUCGCUACCAGGAAUGCUGUUUACAACCUCCAAUGGCCCCUAAACAAUGGCAGUUACUUAGCUGCCGAAUUUGUUGAUCCACUUGAGGUGAAGCUUAAAAUCGAACACCCUCCCCCACUGCCACUGCCUACCAGCCUCGGCAAGGAUACAACGCCAAAUGCAGCAGCCAUCCAACAAGCGGAGGCUAACCAAACCAUGCUUCACCGUGGCGCUGGUGCCGCAUGGGGUCUGUCACCUACUCCACAGCCUCAUACAAAGUUGUAUACCACAUCUAACCCCAGGUCGGAAAGGGAGGUGCUUCCACCUUCUCCAAAGCAACCGGAAACAACUAUCAAGACACUUGAUGAUCUCUUCAGGAGGACACAGGCCUCUCCGAUGAUCUACUACUUGCCCUUAUCGGAGGAGGAGGUGGCAGCCAAGCUCGCAGCACGCCGCAGGCGAAAUUGGAGACGGUAG